rnacentral:rRNA from 1 species
UACGAAGGGGGCUAGCGUUGUUCGGAUUUACUGGGCGUAAAGCGCACGUAGGCGGAUUGGUCAGUUAGGGGUGAAAUCCUGGAGCUCAACUCCAGAACUGCCUUUAAUACUGCCAGUCUCGAGUCCGGAAGAGGUAAGUGGAACUCCUAGUGUAGAGGUGGAAUUCGUAGAUAUUAGGAAGAACACCAGUGGCGAAGGCGGCUUACUGGUCCGGUACUGACGCUGAGGUGCGAAAGCGUGGGGAGCAAACAGGG